GAGCAAACAGGAUUAGAUACCCUGGUAGUCCACGCUGUAAACGAUGUCGAUUUGAAGGUUGUUCCCUUGAGGAGUGGCUUUCGGAGCUAACGCGUUAAAUCGACCGCCUGGGGAGUACGGCCGCAAGGUUAAAACUCAAAUGAAUUGACGGGGGCCCGCACAAGCGGUGGAGCAUGUGGUUUAAUUCGAUGCAACGCGAAGAACCUUACCUACUCUUGACAUCCAGAGAAUUUAGCAGAGAUGCUUUAGUGCCUUCGGGAACUCUGAGACAGGUGCUGCAUGGCUGUCGUCAGCUCGUGUUGUGAAAUGUUGGGUUAAGUCCCGCAACGAGCGCAACCCUUAUCCUUUGUUGCCAGCGAUUCGGUCGGGAACUCAAAGGAGACUGCCGGUGAUAAACCGGAGGAAGGUGGGGAUGACGUCAAGUCAUCAUGGCCCUUACGAGUAGGGCUACACACGUGCUACAAUGGCGUAUACAAAGAGAAGCGACCUCGCGAGAGCAAGCGGAACUCAUAAAGUACGUCGUAGUCCGGAUUGGAGUCUGCAACUCGACUCCAUGAAGUCGGAAUCGCUAGUAAUCGUAGAUCAGAAUGCUACGGUGAAUACGUUCCCGGGCCUUGUACACACCGCCCGUCACACCAUGGGAGUGGGUUGCAAAAGAAGUAGGUAGCUUAACCUUCGGGAGGGCGCUUACCACUUUGUGAUUCAUGACUGGGGUGAAGUCGUA
rnacentral:rRNA from 1 species